CGUAGGGUGCGAGCGCUAAUCGGAAUUACUGGGCGUAAAGCGUGCGCAGGCGGUUUAGUAAGACAGGCGUGAAAUCCCCGGGCUCAACCUGGGAACUGCGCUUGUGACUGCUAAGCUAGAGUACGGCAGAGGGGGUGGAAUUCCACGUGUAGCAGUGAAAUGCGUAGAGAUGUGGAGGAACACCAAUGGCGAAGGCAGCCCCCUGGGUCGAUACUGACGCUCAUGCACGAAAGCGUGGGUAGCAAACAGGAUUAGAUACCCUGGUAGUCCACGCCCUAAACGAUGUCAACUAGGUGUUGGGAGGGUAAAACCUUUUAGUACCGGAGCUAACGCGUGAAGUUGACCGCCUGGGGGAGUACGGCCGCAAGGUUA
rnacentral:rRNA from 1 species